AUGAACGCUAGCGGCAGGCCUAACACAUGCAAGUCGAGGGAGGAGCUUUCGGGCUUCGACCGGCGUACGGGUGCGUAACGCGUAUACAAUCUGCCUUUCACAUAGGGAUAGCCCGAAGAAAUUUGGAUUAAUACCUAAUGGUAUAUAGGAGUGGCAUCACAUUUAUAUUAAAGCUGAGGCGGUGAAAGAUGAGUAUGCGUUCUAUUAGCUAGUUGGAGAGGUAACGGCUCCCCAAGGCGACGAUAGAUAGGGGUUCUGAGAGGGAUAUCCCCCACACUGGUACUGAGAUACGGACCAGACUCUUACGGGAGGCAGCAGUGAGGAAUAUUGGACAAUGGUCGGAAGACUGAUCCAGCCAUGCCGCGUGCAGGAAGACGGCCUUAUGGGUUGUAAACUGCUUUUGCAGGGGAAGAAUAAGGACUACGAGUAGUUUGAUGACGGUACUCUGCGAAUAAGCAUCGGCUAACUCCGUG
rnacentral:rRNA from 1 species